GUUUGGUUCCCUAUAAAAUUGGGAUUUAGAAUUGGAAUUGGGAUCAUAAUUCCAAUUCCAUUGUUUGGAUUUUGCUUCCCUCAAAGAAUUAGGGGCUGCUUGGUUAGAGGGUUUGGGAAUCACAGAAAGGAAUGAAUCCCUUAUUUGUUGCUUGGGUUAAGUCUAUUGGAAUGCAAAUUUUGGAAUCAUUUCUAAAAAAUCGGACUUCCUUAAUUUCCGAGCAAAUUGGGAGGUUUUGGACAAAACCCUCAACUGAUUCCCUCAGACAAUAUUUAUGAUAGGCCUACCCUCUCUUUCUCUCCAUCACACGCAGCACCUUCUGUUCUUCUUCUUCAUCAGAUUUUCUCUCUCUUCUUCUUCAUGUCUUAUCCAAAAUUUCUUCUCCGUUGCCUCUGCAAUUUUCUUCUCCGUUGCCUCUACAAUUUUCUCUGCAAUUUUCUUCUCCGUAUGCAAGCUUUUCUCUUCCUUCUUCUCUGUUUUUUCAGGCUACUCACUGGUUAGCUAAAAAUAAAAAAGAAAAGAAGGGAAUUCGACACAAUAACACUAACUGGACCAAAAUGCUAUGCUCUAGACCCAUCACCUUCUCACUUUUAUUCCACUCACGCUACUCACUGUGUUUUCUUGAAUUACGCAUUCAAUGGAAGCUCAGAAACAAAGGGUCAAUCGAUUUUUGAUAUUUUGGUUAUUUAAUCCGUGAAUACUGGUAUAGUUUGGGUGGGCUUCUGGUUGCCUUGUACCUAUUUGUAAAAUUGUUUGUCUGAAUACCUUUCAGUUUCAUAGUUAUGGGCAUUAAAUACAAAAUCUGCGAGUUUUCCAUAAAGAGCUGGUAUCUUAUGAGCUAUCUUUUUUUUUUUUUUUUUGACUUUCACAUAUUUAAUUUAUAAAUAUAAAACAUAUUAGUUUUCCUUUGGCCGUUAUUUAACCAAUUUUUCCUAUAAAAAGUUGGUAUAUUUUCCAUAAAGAGUUGGUACAAAAUAUACUAAAAACCUUGCCAGUUUUCCAUAAAGAGCUGGUAUGUUAUGUGUUAUUUAACCAAAUUUUCAUAUUUAAAUAAAUUUAUGAAAAUUAAAAUAACGUAUUUGAAAGUUGUGUUUUUAUUUGGAAGAACGCAUUCCUUGGAUGCAUUUUUCACCCUUUGGGAAGAGAAUAAAAAAUCGCCACCCUUUGGGAAGUUAGUUUAAAAACUCCCUCUUUUUGGGAAUUUACUCCUUGUUAAUGCAGCCACUACAUUUAUUUUUUGGUAUUAAUUUUUUAAAAAUUUAUGAUUUUCUUAUGUUUUAUCAAAAAGUUAAUAACUAUUGUAGUUACAAUUAUGGAGAUGUUAAUUUGUCGUAUGUGUAAUUCUUUUAUUUUAUAAGAAUUGUUAUAUCAGGGGUAAAUUUGGAAUUUAAUUGCAUUUAAUUCUGAAACACUCAUCAAACCAAGCAUCAGGAAUUGGAAUGAUGCUAAUUCUAAUGUGUGAACCAAGUUAGAUAUUGGAAUGAAAAGUUUAAUUCCAAAACCAGAGUCCAUGAUUCCAUUUCCAUUUCCGAUUCCAAUCUGUGAAACAAGCAACCCCUUAGAAUUGAAUCUGAAUUCUAUAAGAGUCCAAUUCUAUGAAUUGAAUUCUUUAUCCAACCAAAAGAAUUUCAAUUCCAAUUCCACAACUAAACGGGUUCUCGCGCGGAUCUAGUAUGGGUCAAAAAUUAAAAUGGGGUCAAGGAUAUUGGCACCCCUUUCUUCCUGUCUAACUCACCAUUUUUCCUCAGCCGCUAGUGCUAUGCUCUCCACCGUCACUUCCACCUGCAACCCUAGUAUCUUACCUUGCCCACCACCGUCUCCCCCCUGCCUUCCAUUUCUCUGGCCACUUCCUCCAUCCUUCGCCACUCUCGCCACUCGUCCACCCCAAAUUUCAGACACAUUUAGGGCUUGUGAGACACCCAGGAGGGAUAAUGCGAAUGCAAAGUUGACUUCCAACAGUAGAGGAACACCUUUUGGUCUCUGAGAUUUUGCCGCUACUAUUGCCCCGAAUCGAAAUGGCCUGUGCGGAACUUUGAGCCUAAAGAUGUACUAACACAUGGCAACCUCGAAUAGAGUACCAGUGGUUCGCGCUAAACACCCAUCAUAUUAAGGAAAUUACAAGCCAAGUUGAUGUUUGGGAUGCCAUCUUGAACAACAGGGCAGUUCAGGAUCUCCGGGGCUCAAUCUCUGCAGGAAAAACUUGCUGUCGGGUCAGGGCCUGAAAAAUCUUUUAUGUAUCGUCUCAAGGCUGCUAACUUCUCGUCAAUGGACAUGGAAUGUGAUGAAUGAAGGCUUGUUUAACCUUGUCCUGCAUUUAAGUAAAGUCGGUGCAUUCUUCUUGAUAGCAAAGUUGCGGGCUGACGAAGUUAGACAUGCUUAAAGGCUGAAGAUCGUCACUCCAGUCUUCCUUGUAUCUGUGGUAUUUAUAAAGAAAUUGGAAAAAGGAAAAGAAAAGGCCUUUAUUUUUUUUGGAUGAAUUAAGGAGAAGAGAGAGAAAAUGCCUAAUCGAACUCGGCCGAUGACAGCAUUAUUGGUGUUUACCGGACUCAAUGCCAUUUUGGUCUCAACAAUUGAACCAGUCUACGAUUUCGUCUGCUUCCAUCCCUACUGGGAACGCAGGAGAGAAUGCCGGCGUCGGGAACGUGAGGCUGCACUGGCGAAGAAUCCGGUAUCGCAUUGAAAAUUAUAGCAAUGGCAAGUGUCUUGGAUAAGUUUUCCAUCCAUCAUCCUAUGGUGUUUUGUGAUUUGUACGGGAAGGAAAGACUUGGAACUAAAAAUUCUACAAAAGAAACACUAAGAAACAGAAAAAGAAGGUAAAAAAUACUUUCCUUCACUUGAACCUUUACCAAUGAUUUUGGGAGCUACCCUGAAGUACAUCCUUUGGAACACUUUUGGCAGAAAAAGUUUUGACUGAAUUUUAAUCUCACGCCGAGGGAAAUAACUGUUGUAGCUUUGGGACUUCACUAUGUAAAGUAUGACUUGGAGGUUGGACAUGUUACAUGUAAAGGCUCCUUCGUAGGUUUAUCCACCAUAUGCAAGUAAAACUAGGGGUGCUUCUUUUGAAAUUUUGGUAGUCACAGUGCCUUCUUUCAUUUUUCAGGAAAAAAUUGGUUGAUGCAAACUAUUCUGUUCAUCCUGUGUUAUUUAUCCUCUUUGUUGGUUCCUUAUGGUAGGAAUGAACAGUUUUCUGUUCAUCUUUUAUCUGUAAUCUGUCUCUGUGAAGUCACUCUCAUGGACAAAACUGUGUCUGUCCGGGGUUGGGUUUUUGGAGAAAAGAAUAUGACAUUCGCAUAUCACAGAAGCACCUCUCCUCUGCUAGUAUGCAACACCAUUUAUAUUGUUAAUUGAAGAUGGUACAAUCUAUGCUGUGA